AAACUUGUAGCUCACCGGUAGAGCGCAGGAUCAGCCAUUAAAUCUGCCAUUAAGAGGAAGAUGGUUCAAUUCCAUCCAGGGUUU
rnacentral:tRNA from 1 species